rnacentral:rRNA from 1 species
GAUGAACGCUGGCGGCGUGCCUAAUACAUGCAAGUCGAGCGAACAGAUAAGGAGCUUGCUCCUUUGACGUUAGCGGCGGACGGGUGAGUAACACGUGGGUAACCUACCUAUAAGACUGGGAUAACUUCGGGAAACCGGAGCUAAUACCGGAUAACAUUUGGAACCUCAUGGUUCUAAAGUGAAAGAUGGUUUUGCUAUCACUUAUAGAUGGACCCGCGCCGUAUUAGCUAGUUGGUAAGGUAACGGCUUACCAAGGCAACGAUACGUAGCCGACCUGAGAGCGUGAUCGGCCACACUGGCACUGAGAAACGGUCCAGACUCCUACGGGAGGCCGCAGUAGGGAAUCUUACGCAAUGGGCGAAAGCCUGACGGUGCAACGCCGCGUGAGUGAUGAAGGGUUUCGGCUCGUAAAACUCUGUUAUUAGGGAAGAACAAAAGUGUAAGUAACUGUGCACGUAUUGACGGUACCUAAUCAGAAAGCCACGGCUAACUACGUG